CUACUGCCGAGCUCAUGUUAUGGCAAUUAUAUAACAAGAGGAGUCUGAUGCCUCCAUAGGACAUAUUUCAGUUGCUGUUCAAUUCGCAGCACACACGCCCCUGACCCUGAGCAGAGAGAACAAACAUGUCAGGCCGGUGCACCGCGACCAUGCACUGCCUCACCUGCUGCCUCGUCCAGGGCUUUCCUCCUCAGUCCAGGCGGCGCACCUCGGUAACAUCUCGCUCCGCGUCUUGCCUGGUGUCGCCCUGAGCUGCGGCCAUCCUGAGUCCCGGCGAAAUUCUGACGGGCCAUCACACGCAUGGCUGUUGCAGCUUGUCUGUCUCUCUGAGCAAUGGCAGCAUCCUUUUCUGCUGAGCUUCACCACAUGUUUCGGAACAGUGCGCAGCGUAGUGCGCAUGAACUGAAGUGUCCCUUGACGCGGUUAUUUACGAUUCACAUAGAUUAAACUAUUUUCUCUUUUUAUUUCU